UACGUAGGGUGCGAGCGUUGUCCGGAAUUACUGGGCGUAAAGAGCUCGUAGGCGGUUUGUCGCGUCGUCCGUGAAAACUUGGGGCUCAACCCCAAGCUUGCGGGCGAUACGGGCAGACUUGAGUACUGCAGGGGAGGACUGGAAUUCCUGGUGUAGCGGUGGAAUGCGCAGAUAUCAGGAGGAACACCGGUGGCGAAGGCGGUUCUCUGGGCAUUACCUGACGCUGAGGAGCGAAAGCAUGGGGAGCGAACAGG
rnacentral:rRNA from 1 species